CAGCAGCCGCGGGAAUACGAAGGGUGCAAGCGUUACUCGGAAUUACUGGGCGUAAAGCGUGCGUAGGUGGUGGUUUAAGUCCGUUGUGAAAGCCCUGGGCUCAACCUGGGAAUUGCAGUGGAUACUGGGUCACUAGAGUGUGGUAGAGGAUAGUGGAAUUUCCGGUGUAGCAGUGAAAUGCGUAGAGAUCGGAAGGAACAUCUGUGGCGAAGGCGACUAUCUGGGCCAACACUGACACUGAGGCACGAAAGCGUGGGGAGCAAACAGGAUUAGAUACCCCCGUAGUCCUGUCUCUUAUACC
rnacentral:rRNA from 1 species